CUGUGUUCACAGCUGCUAAAACCAUAGCACGACUCUUGUUUCAAAUGUCCCGGAGUCCUCCACCUGCCUACCUGGACGACAAAAGACAACUUGCUACCUGGAGCUUGCUGACAUGGUUUUUGGAAAGAACCUGGAAUCCCAUCCACCUGUCUGCACAUUGGCUCACAAGUGCUUCACACGGCAGUCCCCAAACCCAGUGAGGUACCCAUGGGAGAAAUGAACCUCAUUCAAUCUCUGAUGACCAGUCUUGCAUCUCCUCGGAACACAGGGAGGCCAGGAUGCAGGUGUUGGGCUCCUCAGGACUUCCAAGAUGACCUCUAAUUGGCACAUCCUCUCCUCCAGAGAAUGUCUGGGUGACAAACAGGGUCUCUUCUCACACCCUGAUCCUCACCAUCCCUGAAAAGUGGAGUCAUACGCUGGAGUCUUUUCCAUGCUGUGGCCCAGCUCACCUCUCAGCUUCAUCUUGUCGCUCAUCUGAUGCUGCUCCCAAGCCCAGUCUGUGUUUACAUGCCUCCACACUUUGUUCCCAUAGCUCUGCUCCCUAAAUGCAUGUGUGUGUGC